rnacentral:rRNA from 1 species
GACGAACGCUGGCGGCGUGCUUAACACAUGCAAGUCGAACGGAAAGGCCCUGCUUUUGUGGGGUGCUCGAGUGGCGAACGGGUGAGUAACACGUGAGUAACCUGCCCUUGACUUUGGGAUAACUUCAGGAAACUGGGGCUAAUACCGGAUAGGAGCUCCUGCUGCAUGGUGGGGGUUGGAAAGUUUCGGCGGUUGGGGAUGGACUCGCGGCUUAUCAGCUUGUUGGUGGGGUAGUGGCUUACCAAGGCUUUGACGGGUAGCCGGCCUGAGAGGGUGACCGGCCACAGUGGGACUGAGAUACAGCCCAGACUCCUACGGGAGGCAGCAGUGGGGAAUAUUGCACAAUGGGCGGAAGCCUGAUGCAGCAACGCCGCGUGCGGGAUGACGGCCUUCGGGUUGUAAACCGCUUUCGCCUGUGACGAAGCGUGAGUGACGGUAAUGGGUAAAGAAGCACCGGCUAACUACGUG